rnacentral:rRNA from 1 species
UGGGGAAUAUUGCGCAAUGGGGGCAACCCUGACGCAGCCAUGCCGCGUGUGUGAAGAAGGCCUUCGGGUUGUAAAGCACUUUCAGUGGGGAGGAAAGGGCGCUGGCUAAUAUCCAGUGCAGUUGACGCUACCCACAGAAGAAGCACCGGCUAAUUCCGUGCCAGCAGCCGCGGUAAUACGGAAGGUGCGAGCGUUAAUCGGAAUUACUGGGCGUAAAGCGCGCGUAGGCGGCUUGGUAAGUCGGGUGUGAAAGCCCCGGGCUCAACCUGGGAACUGCAUUCGAUACUGCUGGGCUAGAGUACGAGAGAGGGGGUGGAAUUCCAGGUGUAGCGGUGAAAUGCGUAGAGAUCUGGAGGAACACCGGUGGCGAAGGCGGCCCCCUGGUUCGAUACUGACGCUG